UUUCAGAUAUUUCUUUAUAGCAAUGUGAGAACAGACUAAUACAGUUCCCCCUUUAGGAUCCCGUCUGUUUAUGAAUGAUUCCAACAUCUAUUAACUGACCCAACUCAAACAUCUGGGCAUCAUUUCAGACUUACUGCCGGACCCAAUUCCUCACCAAAUUCCUCAAUAGUUCUCACACAUACUUCCUGCUGCCCCACCACCACUACCACAUUUCAUAUUGUGACUGAUUCUUGCGUUGAUCAUUGAAGGAACAUGCCAAACUAUCUCCCUGCUUCCAGUCCUGCUUUCUCCCACACUACAUACCAGAGGAAUAUUUUGAAAUUCCAAUCAGGUUAUGUUACUUUUCUGCUUAAAAAUCUUUCAGUAAUUUCCCAUUGUCUUCAGGAUAGAGCCCAAACUCAUUCACAGAACAUACAGAGUCCUUCAUGAUCUCUCCCUCACCUCCCCUCCAGCCUCAUCACUUACCAUCCUCCCACCUACCAGUCCUUCCCUGCAGUCACCUGGAUCAUUUGCAACUUCCCUAGGACACUUUCAAGUCUCUGAGCCUCCACAUGUUUCUCUCUGAAAUUAUUUCUUCCUUCUCAUUAUUUCUUUCAAGACAUUGCGUCUUUUCAAGACAUCUUUUAAGACUUAACUCUGUUUUCCUCUGGGACACUUUCCCCAUUCUCCUGCCCCUUCUUUCCUUUUAACUAACUGCUCCUUCACUACCUCCAAUAUAUACACAUCUCAAAAGUGGUUUUCAUGCCUACAUCCUCCAGGGUCCCAACAGAAAACAGAUGACACCCUCUGAUCAAGCUAAAUAUGAGGAAAGUUUAUUUACAAGGAACUAAUUAUAAAGUUGUGGGUGUAGUUAAGUGAAACUACAGGAACUGGUAUAGAAACUCUGGAUUAGCAGCAGCAGUGGAGCUCUCAUUAUCUGUAGGUCAUAAGAGAGAAGGUAAGGGAGACAGUAGGUGACUUUGGGAUGAGCAGUGAUACUUGAUGGAGUCAUCCUUCCAGGGAGAGAAAGAAAUACUCCAGAGCUGCCUCUCCUUUCUCCCUGAGUCUCCUAAAGUGCUGCCUGUCAGUUGAAGCCAACAAGAAACCAGAUGGCCCAGGAGUCUUGUUGACGUGGUCCAUGUAGACCAAUCUCCCAGGGAAGAGCAAAGGUGGUGUAAGGGAGGACAGAUUUUUCCUCUACCCUCUUAGGUUCUGCAGCUGGGCCUGAGAAUUAAACUGACAAAAGACAGAUUAACAGGAGAAAAGCAUAUACAUUUUAUUUGAUGUUAAUAUUUUUGCAUGGCAUAGGAGCCUUCAUAGAAAAAAGAAAUGAAGAGGCCUGAGACAGUAUAUACCAUUUCAACAAAGAAUGAUCAACUGUGGAGAUGUGACAAGAAAAAAGCAAAAGGAGUUUGGACCGAGGCAGCAAAUUGUGGGAAAGUGACUAGGAAAUAUUGGAGAAACUAGUGGAAGAUAAAGGUUGUUUUAGUAGGUUUGUUUGUACAGAUUCAUCUUGACAUUCACUGUCUGUCUUCAGUAAUAGGAAUGUUCUCUUCUUCCUGGUACAGGGAAGGGAAGACACUUUUUUUGUAGGAAAUCUGUGUCAGCUUUCAGGUAGAAAGAGAGAGAUCAGAGAGCCUUUCUCACGUCUGCUGUUCAUUCAGCUCAAAAUAAUCAAUAUGUUAAAGUUGCAUAUUUUAGAGUGGCAUGUUCUGAUUCCUAUCAGUGGAGAAAGAUCGAGUAAACCUGGAGGUGCCCAGUGCCCUUUUUCUGUGCCCCACAGCUUCCUGUGCACACCUCUUCAAACCCAUGCCUCCUGCUAAAUUUUAACUGCUCCACUCCCUAGCUAGUCUCUCAGCCAUGUUGAAAGGCAGUUGGGCCUCUCACCUUUUUUCACCAGUGUGUGCCACAGUGACUGGCACAUAACUAAUGGUAACUGAACUCAAUAAAUAUUCUCUAAAAUUAAAUAACAAAAUUUUGAAUGUAUACUUGCCAGAAUUGUUGGAGACUUUGGGAAAUAUUUAGUUCACUCUUCUUAUUUCAAAGAUGGAAAAACUAAAACCAAGAGGUGAAUAGCCUUGUUCAAGAGCUAAAAUUAAUAUACAGCAUUAAUGGUAUUGUAUACACAGUAUUAAAGGAAUGAUAUACACAGUAUUAAUUUUCAGGACCAGAUUUUAGUUUUUCUAAUUCCCAACCUUCCUCUACUACUUAAUUUUAACUGUAAUCUCAGGUUAUUCCUUGGAAGCAAAAUUCACACGACUUUUCCAUUAAACUAAGAGUCUUAUGUUUUGGCAACAAGAAAGAGACAGUGAGAGGGGUUGGAUCUGCCUGCUUUGAGUCCUUUGCCAAAAACAAUCUCUGAGCUCUCUGGAUAAGCAACACUUGCAAACCUAGCAAAGUGCCACAAGUUGGAGUCAUGAAAUGAAGCGCGAGGCUCGGGAAUAACGCCUUUACACAAACUACCUCUGGUGGUGGGUGGUGAGAGUGGUUUUGUUUUAACAUCCUAUUAGCACAUUAUCUUUCAUUUCCAAAGCCUUUAUUGGUUCCAAGCCUACAGGUGGUGAUGGGGGGUGGGAGGGAGUUUGAGUAAGAUGUUCCUUAGUUGGGAGGCAAAGCUGUUGGUGCCUCCUCAUUUGAUGAGUCAGCCAGCUGCUGCUGCUGCUGCUGCUGCUGCUGCUGCUGCUGCUGCUGCUGCUACCACUGCUGCUGUUUUUUUUUUUUCCCCCUUGGGAAAUGCAACCAUUGCUUCUGAAAUGAUUGCAUGCCAAGUGCAAAAGAUGGAAGCAUUGAUCAUACUGGAUUGGAAUCACCAGUUUAUUUAUCUGCCCUCACUAAACUGUGUGCUCUUGGAGAGCAUAGAUUAUGCCCUUUGUCUAGGUAACUCCAGACCCUGGCCAAGUGUCUAAUGCUUUUUUUGGUGACACUACAAAAAAAUGGGGAAAAAAAAAUGCUAGGUGGACUUGAGAACAUGGACUCAGUGGUCAGGGAUGCAAUUCUAAGGCCUAGCACUCUGAUGAGCAUUCUUAUGUCUUCUCACUUCUCUAGCAGAGGGUGGUUCUAGUACCAUCAUGCAGCUGUUGCAAUGAUCCAAGAAGAUUGUGUGAUUGAAACUUCAUGUGAUACAAACUGUAAAAUUUGGGUAUAGCUUAAAUUUCCCAGGAGCUAUUGGCUAACCCCAUGACUUUGGGCAAGUUAAACCACCUAUGAACCUCAGUAUCCACAGCAGUAAAAUAAGAAGGUUAGAAACUAUGAUGUACAUGGUCCUUUUCUGCUCUGAAAUUCUCCUAAAUUUCUUUGCUGUCAAACACCCCAACUCUCUUCUUUGACAGGGUAGAAGACAGUCCGUGAAGCUGCCACUAAAAAGGAUAAAAGGAACUAUGUGGGUUUAUGAUCACAACCAAUUAUGCUACUGCCAAAAGAAAACAGCACUGAAUAUUUUAGUUUCUCAGAGGACGUGCAAUGUUUGAAAAUCAUCUUCCUUCUUGCAUUAAAAAAAAAAAAAAGAAAAAGAAGAAGAAAAGUGGGAGAACCAUCACAUUCUGUGCAUAACUUUUCUACUUAUAGACAAAAUUUUCAAUUCAUUUUUUUCCUUUCUGGAGGUGUGAGGGAAAAUUCCCAUAGCUGUAGGAGUGUGGAAGUCAGGGGACUGUAGGAGAAUGUAAGUGUGAUCGUGGGACUACACUUAAUUCAUUAAAAUGUGUGGUUUAUAAAAACCACUUUGCCAAAAAUGAGCUUUGUGGGAAGGAGAAGGCAGCAGGGAUAUGGAUGCGUGGGGGAAAGGGAGGAGUAAGAAGUGCCAAGAGAGAAGGAAGUCUUAUUUGUUGCUAAAUGUUGAAUCCCACAUAAGAAUAUGUCAUGAGCCAAUUUAGGGAAAUUAAAAUGCAACUUGGGGGAGUGCAAAUCUAUUAGGCACAGAUAUUACGUGUUGACAUUAUUAUCAUCCUAUUUUUAUAUAAAUUGUGAACAUUCUCCAGUGACUUUAAAAAGUUUGGGGAAACUUUAUUUUUAGUUAUCCUCCUUUCACAUUUUCUCCUUUUCCUAGGUGAAACGGCAGUCAUAUAACAACAUUGUGCUUUUAUUCCUUUCCUGUCAAUACUGUGAAUUGUUUCGGAAACAAACUGUAUUAUUUAGGUUAACAUUGGCUGCUGUAACAAAUAAACCUCAAACUUUUGUGACUUAACACAACAGAAUUUUAUUUCUCAUUCACCAAACAGUCUGGUGCAAGUAUUCCUGGUAGGCACACCACUUUCCUCAAUGAGAUAACUCAAGGAUUGAGGCUCUGCUAUGGCUUGAAUGUGUCUCAUCCAAAAUUCAAGUGUUGCCAGUGUGAUAGUAUUCAAAGGUAGGGCCUUUAAGAGGUGAUUAAGCCAUAAGGUCUCUACUCUCAUGAAUCAGAUUAGGUGUCCUUAUAAUAGGUCUUGAUAGAGGAAGUUUAUCCCUUUUUGCCCUUCUGCUAUCUACCAUGUGAAGAUACAUCUCUUCUUCCCCCAAGGGGUUGCAGCAUUGAAGGCACCAUCUUGGAAGCAAAGACUAGACCCUCACCAAGCAGUUAACAUGCUGGUGCAUUAAUCUUGGACUUUCCAGCCUCCAGAACUGUGAAAAAUAAAUUUCUGUUCUUAAUUAAUUACCCAGUCCCAGGUAUUCUGUUAUAGCAGCACAAAGCUCAGGCAGGCUCUUUACAUCUUGUGGCUCCACUAUCUCCUGGGAACUGGGAGUCCUUAGGUUCUAGCCAUAUAAAGAGAAAAAAAAGAUGGAGAAGGCACACAUGCUUCUCAAUGGUCGUGGUUCAGAAGUAACAAAUACCAAUUUUAUAUAUUCUACUGACACAACCCAGAUGCAGGGGUGUUCUGGGAAUGGAGUCUCUGAUCGGGGAGCAGGGAUCAGGGAUCAAAGAUCAGGAAAGAUUCCAGGGUGAAUAUUUUACUAGGUGAGAAGGACCAUGAAUUCUGACAAACAGUUUUUGCUGCUCCACCCACUCCUCAUCAUCACUGUUAAACAUAAAGAGAAAUGGCAGCACUUUUUGUCCAUUGAUUGUAACUCUUUCUUUAAAUACUUUUAAGGCAGAAUCCUAAUUCAUCUCUUCUAUGAAACUUUCAUGAUUCAAAGGGAAGUCCCUGCAUGGGCACUGCCAGCUUCUGCCUCUAUGCUUUUUCCUGAACCUUCUCCACCUUUGGAAUGUACUUCAGAGUCUUAAUAGCCCAAGGCCACGUGAGCCAAUACCAGUACGCAUUCUCAACUCAUGGAGGAGACAGACACUUAAGCUGCACGGAAGCAUGGCGGGGGAGGCCUCAGGAAACUGAC